rnacentral:rRNA from 1 species
GUACACUCCUGCGGGAGGCAGCAGUGGGGAAUAUUGGACAAUGGGCGCAAGCCUGAUCCAACCAUGCCGCGUGAGUGAUGAAGGCCCUAGGGUUGUAAAGCUCUUUCACCGGUGAAGAUAAUGACGGUAACCGGAGAAGAAGCCCCGGCUAACUUCGUGCCAGCAGCCGCGGUAAUACGAAGGGGGCUAGCGUUGUUCGGAUUUACUGGGCGUAAAGCGCACGUAGGCGGACUAUUAAGUCAGGGGUGAAAUCCCGGGGCUCAACCCCGGAACUGCCUUUGAUACUGGUAGUCUUGAGUUCGAGAGAGGUGAGUGGAAUUCCGAGUGUAGAGGUGAAAUUCGUAGAUAUUCGGAGGAACACCAGUGGCGAAGGCGGCUCACUGGCUCGAUACUGACGCUGAGGUGCGAAAGCGUGGGGAGCAAACAGGAGUUGAAACCCCAGUAGUCCCAUGAU